GUUUUUUUUAGUGAGUCAUCACUGCAUUUCCAGUGGUGAUUGUGCUACCAAAAUCAUUUGUUUUUAAGGGAGACAUCACUGCUCUUCCAAAGGCAAGUGUGCUAUCCAAAGCAUGUUUUCACCAAGUUAUCACUGCAUUUCCAGCAAUGAUUGCAUGACUAAAGGUAAGUGUUUUUUUCGUGAGCCACUGCUGUUUUUCCAGCAGCGAUUGUGCCACCAAAAGCCAAUCUAUUUUCGUGAGUCAUCACGACAUUGCAAGCAGUUAUUAUGCCACCAAAGGCGGGUGUUUUGUAAUAAGCCAUCAUUGCUUUCCAACAGUGACUUGGUGGUGGUUAGCAAGUUAUUGCUGCAUUUCCAACAGCAAUUGUGUCGCCAAAAGUAUUUAUUUUUAAGUGAGACAUCACUGUUCUUUCAAGGGCAAUUGUCCCACCCAAAGUGGGUGUUUUUUAGUUAGCCAUCAUUGUUAGCCACCAAAAGCCAUUUUUUUUAAUUGAGUCACCACUGCAUUUCCAGUGGUGAUUGUGCAAACCAAAACCCCAUGUUUUUCAUGAGCUAUCGCUGCUUUAACAGCCACAAUUGUGCUACCAAAGGCAGGUGUUUUUUGUGAGCCAUUGCUGCUUUUCCAACAGCGACUGUGCCACCAAAAGCCAGUCUUUGUUAGUGAGUCAUCACCACAUUGCAAGCAGUUAUUAAGCCAUUAUUGCUUUUCCAUCAGUGAUUUUGCCAACAAAAGCGGGUGGUUAUUAGCAAGUUAUUGCUGCAUUUCCAACAGUGAUUGUGCUGCCAAAAGUAUUUAUUUUUAAGUGAGACAUCACUGUUCUUUCAAAGGUUACUGUCCUAUCCACGGUGGGUGUUUUUUAAUGAGCCAUUGCUGCUUUUCCAAUGGUGAGUGUGCUACCAAAAUCAGGUGCUUUUUAAUGAAACAUCACUAACGGCUAUUUUGUCACAAAAAGUGGAUGUUUUUUUAGUGAGCCAUGGCUGUAUUUCUGGUGAUGUUUGUGCUAAACAAGUUGGGUGUUUUUUUUGCAAGUCAUUGCUGUAUUUCCAAUGGCAAAUGUGCCACCAAUAGUGAGUGUUUUUUAGUGAGACAUCACUGCAUUUCCAACGGCGAUUGUGCCACCAAAAGUGGAUGUUUCUUAGCAAGUCAUUGUUGCAUUGACAGUGGCAAAUGUGCCACCAAUAGCGGGUGCUUACUAGUGAGACUUAAGUGCAUUUUAUGCAACAAUUGUGCCAUGUAAGGCGGGUGUGUUUCAGCUGGCCAUUGCUGCAUUUCCAGCAGUGAUUGUGUCACGAAAACCGGUGGUUUUAAGCCAACUAUAAAUGGGUUUUCUGCCCUACACAUAACCUCAAGUUGCCAACAGCAUUCUUGGUAUGUAAAGAAAAGAAAAGUUUCAACAUAUCACUGACAUAAUAACAUACAAAUGUUGCAUAUCUGUGGUUUGCAGAAAUAACGCACAAUGCCAGCGUUUAUUCUGGUGAAUGGGUUGAAGAAAUGAAAAAUGCUAUUUCCUAUGUCUGAGUCAAUCUAGUAGAUAACAAGUAAUUAUAAAAUGUGUUAUUAUUCUUUCCAGAAUUAGGGUAGUAUAACCAAAAGAAGAAAUGCUAUGUAAACCUCUGUAUUAAUGUCUCUUAACCUCGCAAAUAAGUCGGAAAUGUAGCUUUAAAAGGUGGAGAUAAAUCAACAUAUCUUAUUAUAUUCAUUAAAACAGCUAAAACAAUGUUUUAUUCCCUCCCUUUGCAGGUCCUGGAGUUCCAGCUGUGCUGCUUCUGAGUUUUGAUGACGUGGACUCGUACUUCAUCUUAGAGAACAACCUCCCUCUGCGGUCGGCGCUGGAGACUAAAAAGAGGAUUCAGAGUGAAAUCCGGAUGAUCGCUAAUGACAACUUUGAGCUGCCUCUGAAGCUCAUCUAUCCUCCUGACUUCUCCGAGUCCUACCUCUACGGCCUUCUCCUUAUUGU